GAUGAACGCUGGCGGCGUGCUUAACACAUGCAAGUCGAACGAUGAAGCCCAGCUUGCUGGGUGGAUUAGUGGCGAACGGGUGAGUAACACGUGAGUAACCUGCCCUUAACUCUGGGAUAAGCCUGGGAAACUGGGUCUAAUACCGGAUAGGAGCGUCCACCGCAUGGUGGGUGUUGGAAAGAUUUAUCGGUUUUGGAUGGACUCGCGGCCUAUCAGCUUGUUGGUGAGGUAAUGGCUCACCAAGGCGACGACGGGUAGCCGGCCUGAGAGGGUAGCCGGCCACACUGGGACUGGGACACGGCCCAGACUCCUACGGGAGGCAGCAGUGGGGAAUAUUGCACAAUGGGCGAAAGCCUGAUGCAGCGACGCCGCGUGAGGGGUGACGGCCUUCGGGUUGUAAACCUCUUUCAGUAGGGAAGAAGCGAAAGUGACGGUACCUGCAGAAGAAGCACCGGCUAACUACGUGCCAGCCGCCGCCGUAA
rnacentral:rRNA from 1 species